rnacentral:lncRNA from 1 species
CAGCGAUGAGGGGGGCCGAGCAGGGGCUGCCCGUUAGACGGCCGCAGAGUCCCAGCCCCCAGCCCUGCUCACCUUUCUUACCUCUCUGGCCCCGUCGGCAUUUGAGCCUGGGACCCCAGACGAAAGGAUACGCUUCCUUUUAGAACCCCUGCCAAUCUGAGGACGGGGCCACCCCACAGACGCCGUGGCUCAGCAAGCAGACCAAUGGCCGAGGAGUCUGGCAAGGGGCGCUUGGCAGAUGAGAGUGGAGGUUGUAAAUCACCCUCCAUGCAAUGGUUCAUCAUAAAGGAUAUGGAGCAAAAUUAGAGGAGGCACGAGAAGGAAAGCCGGUGAUGAACAAGGAAAGUGCCUGGUUGAAGCUAGCUUGCAAUCCCAAAGUCAGAAGGUUGCCUGGGAAGCCAUGAAACAAAGCCAAAUCAAGGCAAAGCAGACACAUGGAGAUUUUGAGACUGAGAAGAGGAAAACUGAGGACAUUCAUGUGAGAUGGUUUCAAGUUUCCCUUAGAAGGAGAAGUUAUCUUCAGAAGGUCAGGUUGGUGAGGUGGGAGUUCAAAAACAACAAAGUAUGUAGCUACCAUUGUGAGGAAGACCAUGGAAAAUGGACGAAUCAGAAUGAAAGGCUUUCUGAACAAGAGGGAGUUUCCCUGCACAAGCUCCCUCCUGCCUGCUGCCAUGUGAGACCUGCGUUUUGCCUUCCACCAUGACUGUGAGGCCUCUUCCCCGGCCAUGUGGAACUCCCAGAGACAGAAGCAGAUAAUGCAAGUGUCAUCUACAUCUGGCAAAAGCCAAAGGUUUGGAAGAUGGAAAAAGGAAUCCAGGCAAAAAGGAGCCCAAGAUUGAAGUGAAUGACCAGGUGCACCAGUUCAAAUGCAAUCAGGAGGGACAGGGGUAGAGGGAGAAGCCUAGAGCAGCGCUUCUCAAACUGACUAUUCAAGUCACCUGGAGAUCUUGGUGAAAUGCAGACUCUGGUGCAGUAGGUCCUGGCGGGAACUUGAAAUUCUGCAUUUUGACCAAGGUCCAAGGUGAAUGUCCAGUGCUGUUGUCCUUGGCCUGCAGCAGGAGGAGCAGGGAUCUAAGACUUGGAGAGCAAAUGUCAAGCUCAGAAGAAAGACUGGAAGUUUGGGGACAAAACCCAAAUAUGGCUAAAGAAAGCCUGUAGGAUGAAGUUGGAAGUUCCAGAGCCUUCUCUUCACAUAAUGGGACAUGCAAGGGGGAAACCAAAUCAAAAGUGUAGAAUGCGUCGCUGGAUGUCUUUGACAUGUUAUUGUUCUGAUAGAAUAUCAGCGGGGAGCUACUGAGGACCUCCUCACUACCCUCCCUUGGAAGAGUUUGUCUGCAAUGGAGCCAACACAGUGGAAAGCAGAGCUGAGAAAUGGACAAACAACUCCUGAUGCCUCAUUUGAGCACCUGGAUUUAGCCAUGUCUGAAGCUAUUAAUCUUCCCCACCAAGUUAGAACCUGUGUCAUGUUCCUCUGAACUGUGUUUGUCCCCUUCGGGGGACCCCACAUGCUACGGACACCUGAUGAUUCGACCUGUUCACCAUCCCUUCAGCCCUGAACUGGCAACAGUAUCCUCAUUAUUCAUGAGAAAACGAUUCCUCCUCCCUUCCCAGACCAUGAGGAUUGAGUGGAAUUCACUCCAUCCUUCUCAGCUCCCUGGUGAGUAGGUGGCUGGAACUAGUCAAUGAGUAUAUUUCAACCCAGGGAUGGGAAUGUAGCCAACUCUGAACAAUGAGAGUCAGCCUCAGGAUUCUAAUGGAAGUGUCUGUAAGAAAACUCUGUCUCCACCAGACCAGAAACUGGCAGGGUACAAGCCUACAACUGUUGGCAGCCACCUUACCACCACCCAGGGAGUCUGUGGCUGGGCUCCCUAAGAAGAAGACUCUGAGGCAAGGAUUUCUGUGCAAGAGGUUUAUUUUGGAGACUCCCAGGAAGCAUGGGAAGGAGAAUAGGAAAGUGAGACAGGAAAGAGAAGGGGGCUAAAUCAGAGUGCAUUGGAGAGCAGGCUGCCACAGCGGGCAACUGAGGCUUAGCACUGUUGGAAACAUCUGGAGAAAAUAUAGAACAUGUCCAGGAGUCCUCCCAACCAAAGACCGUAGUAAUUCAUUGUUGAAUCUACUAAAUCGAUCUGUCUUUGGCUGAAGGCUGCUACCAGGGCUGUUAACUCCCUGGUUCUUCUGCCUGCCCACAACAGACUGAACCAGCCCCUGUGGGAAGAGAAAGCCCCCAGGCUGAGAAUCAACUGAGCUGCAUUGAGGAGCCCCAGGUGUGUGUCCAGGAAUGCCAAGUGCAGAAGGGCUAUGCACGGGGCACCAUCAUGACCUGCUGCAGAGACCGUCCCUGAGAACAGAGGAGCAGAGAGAGAGAAGAGCAAGAGAUGGGCAAGGACAGAGUCACAAUCCCAGUGUCUGGCCCCUGCCUCCGGCCUUGUCUCAGCUAGCUCUGUCACUGGACUUUCAUUUGUCUGGGACCAAUAUCUCUCUUCCUUCCUAAAGAUGACUGCAGACUGGUUUCUGCCCUGUGUAAUGAAAAGAUCAUGAUGUGCACAGCUUUUUACCCCAUCUUAAGAAUAUUUGAGCACUUAUCUCCAUAGAGGGCAGAAUCUGUAAUGAAUUUACUUUUCAGUCCUCCAUAACACCUGUCGCAAGGUUUGUACAGUUUUCAAGAAAUACUGGGUAGAUGAAUGAAUGGAUACUGAAAAGACCCACUAAAAUUUAAUGCAAAUCUGUAACAACAGAUGCCCAUUUAAGGCACAUGGCAGAGGGCAAGGUGGCAUAGGGAGAAAGCAGUUGGAGCAGAUUCAUCCUGGCAGUGGCACCCUGUGAGGAGGGGUACUGGCAGGUCCCACUGGGGCUCCCAAGUGAAAAAGUGCCAGUGUUAGUUCCUGCUACCAAGAAACCUAGAGCUUCUCUGGUUCUAGUUUUUUCCAAAGGCUCAUUUUCCAGCUUUUCCUUCCAUUCUGAGAGCUAUACCAUAGCUUCCAUUAAUUCUUUAUUGUUUGUUAAUUUGGCCUAAUACUGUGACUCAGUCUCUGUCACUUGCCACCCUAGAACCCUAGCCAGCACAGAAAUGACGGAGUGAAACCACCUCCACACAAACCAGUGCUGCUUCCUCUCUUCACAGUUGCAGAUUCUGUCUCUAGUGGCAGCAUUAAGGGAGAUUGUGUCAUCAAGCCUGCUUUGCUCUAAGAUGCUGACUUUAACAGAUUAGAAAUGUUCCCGGCACAGCCCACGCUUCUGCUAAUAAAUGAUUCCAUAUCUAUCAUGAAUGAAUUUCAAGUCUUCCAUUACUGGGCUGUGUACCUACUCACGAAGUACAUUUCCAGGCGAUUUUGUCUGAAUUACAUGGUUAAUUGCCUCAUAUUUUCAGCUCA